rnacentral:rRNA from 1 species
UACGUAGGGGGCAAGCGUUGUCCGGAAUCAUUGGGCGUAAAGCGCGUGUAGGCGGUUCGGUAAGUCUGCUGUGAAAGUCCAGGGCUCAACCCUGGGAUGCCGGUGGAUACUGUCGGACUAGAGUACGGAAGAGGCGAGUGGAAUUCCCGGUGUAGCGGUGAAAUGCGCAGAUAUCGGGAGGAACACCAAUUGCGAAGGCAGCUCGCUGGGACGUCACUGACGCUGAGACGCGAAAGCGUGGGGAACAAACAGG